UCUGUUCCUCUAAGGGAAGAGAGACCAAAGAGAAUUCUACUUUGACCCUGGCUUAAGAGUGGAACAUAGAUGUCUAUAAAACUAUGUGGUACCAGCAUGUUAUGAAGAAUAAGCAAGAAGAAAGAGAAGGAGAAGAAGCAGGAGGAGGAGGAGAGAAGGAAAGGGAGGAGGAGGAGGAGAAAAAGAUGGUGGUAGAGGAGGAGGAGAAGAAGAAGAAGGAGGAGAAGGAGAAGGAGAAGAAGGAGCAGGAGGAGGAGGAAGAAGAAGAAGAGGAGAAGGGAACUCACAUGCUACCUGUGUGAGUCACAUGUCAGUGCAAUUUCUGGAGGUCAAUUGUAGCCCUGAAGUCUCAGAACAAUGGCAAAAAGAAAUACGGAGGGCAUGAUACAUUUGGCAGACUAAAAUUCUCAAGAUUCCUAUGCAGUCGAGUUUUACCAUAUGACUGAGUUCCAACAAAGAAAUAUGAGUAGAAGAUUGUAUAAGCAUCAUUUUUGACCCAGGGCUUUAAGAAGCAGUUGGCUGGCUAUGCAGUGAAGCUCCAUAUGUCCCACAUUCAUUCUUCAGAAUAACUUGGGCAAGUUCUCAUGGUGAAAGUAGAGGUGCAAAGGUAAACAAGUCCAAUUAUCUAAGUAUGUGCGAAGUCUCUAUUUGUGUCUUGUUUACAAACAGCACGUGGCCAAAGCUAUGAAUCACAACAUUAAGGGCUGAGUAAAAUUUCCUGCCCAGACUUGGACAGUACUUGAAACUUGUAUACGAAAAGAACAGAUAUAAAGAGGGGAGAAAGAAUUUGGGCUGAAAUUCAAUCUAUCACACUUUCCCAACCUAAUAGCUCAUAUUUCUUUUUGUUUGAUGAGUUAGUUCAUCAGUACAAUGCUGAUAGGAAGACUGAUAGUUAACAUUUAUGUCGUGUUUCUAUAUGUAAUAGGAAGGAUCUGGAGUACAUUUUUGAUGAAUAUAAAAUUUUAAGUUUAUGGUUUUCUUCUUUCAGCUCUUCAAGCAUUUUUUCCUACUGUCUAAUGAACAGUCUGUAUUAAUUUUAGUUUUGUUCCUGUCUUUAUAAGUUUACCUGUUCUCUCUUUUUCAAAAUAAACUGUUAAUUUUAGAGCCAUUUUAGAUUUACAGAAAAAUUGUGAAGAGAGUACAGAGUUGCCAUUACCCCCAUAAAUGCAGGUUUUUCCUGUUUUAACAUCUUACAUUAGUGUGGUAAAUUUGUUACAAUUAAUUAGGCAAUAUUUAUACAUUAGUAUUAAAUACAUCCAUAUUCUAUUCAGAUUUUGUUCAUAAUGUUCUUUUUUGUUCCAGGAUUUCAUCUGAAUACCAAAUUACUUUUGGUCAUCAUGUCUUCUUAAGCUCCUCUUGGCUGUGACACUCUCAGACAAGAAUUUUGAUAAUCAUGUUUUUAUAACCUUGACAGUUUUCUAGAGUACAGUCAGGUAUUUCCCACAAUGAGAGUUGUAUGAUGCUUUCCUAUAAUUAGACUGGGAUGAUGGGGAUACAUGGAGGGAAGGCACAGAAGUAAGGCAUGGAGGUAAAUCAUCGUGGAAAAGCUAUUUUAUCACAGUAUGCCAAGUGUACAUAACAUUGUAGAUGUAAACCAUGAUUACCUGGAUGAGGUAGCAAUUGCAGAUUUUCUUACUGUAAAGUUAUUCUUUUUCCUCCCUUGUUAUAUAGCACCAUUUGGAAGCAAGUCACUACGCAUAAUUCACAAUUGAGUAAUAAAGAUUUAUGCUUCACCUCUUUGAAGUUUGUCUCUUCCAGAAUCAAAGCUAUAAAACUACAAAUGGUUCUCCAAAUGGAGCCCCAGAUGCAGUCCAUGACUAAGAUCUACUGCGGACCUCUGGACCGGCCUGCUAGCCCAGCUCCCACAUUAAUGACAUCAAAGGCACCCCUCCCGAGGAAAUCUCAACUGCAUGACACCUACUACGCCCCAAUUCAGCAGGAAGCAGUUAGAGUGGUCGUUGGCCAACCUCCCCAACAGCACUUGGGUUUUCUGUUGAGAUGGGGGACUGAGAGACAGGACUAGCUGGAUUUCCUAGGCCAACUAAGAAUCCCUAAGCCUAGCUGGGAAGGUGACUACACCCACCUUUAACCACUAGGCUUGCAACUUAGCUCACACCCGACCAAUCAGGUAGUAAAGAGAGCUUGCUAAAAUGCUAAUUAGGCAAAAACAGGAGGUAAAGAAAUAGCCAGUCAUCUAUCGCCUGACAGCACAAGGGGCGGGACAAUGAUCAGGAUAUAAACUCAGGCAUUCAAGCCAGCAAUGGCUACCCACUUUGGGUCCCCUCCCAUUUUAUGGGAGCUCUGUUUUCACUCUAUUAAAUCUUUCAACUACCAAAAAAAAAAAAAAAGAAAAGAAAAACAAUUAACUUUUUUAUAUAUCAGUUAAAUUCAUCCAUGAUGUUUUUUAUGUUUUCUGUAUUCUUACUGGUCAUUUUUCUAUUUGUUCUAUCAAGUAUCCAGGAAUAUGUGUUAAAGAUGUCCACUUCAAUUGUGAAUUUCU
rnacentral:lncRNA from 1 species